AAUAUUGCGCAAUGGGGGAAACCCUGACGCAGCAACGCCGCGUGAAGGAUGAAGGUUUUCGGAUCGUAAACUUCUUCUAUUGGGGACGAAUAAUGCCGGUACACAAAAAACAAGUCACGGCUACCUACGUGCCAGCACCCGCGGUAAUACGUAGGUGGCGAGCGUUGUCCGGAAUUACUGGGUGUAAAGUGCGUGUAGGCGGGAGAGCAAGUCAGAUGUGAAAUACCGUGGCUUAACCACGGGGCUGCAUCUGAAACUGUUUUUCUUGAGUGUCGGAGAGGAAAGUGGAAUUCCCAGUGUAGCGGUGAAAUGCGUAGAUAUUGGGAGGAACACCAGUGGCGAAGGCGACUUUCUGGACGAUAACUGACGCUGAGGCGCGAAAGCGUGGGGAGCAAACAGG
rnacentral:rRNA from 1 species